rnacentral:rRNA from 1 species
GAUGAACGCUGGCGGCGUGCCUAAUACAUGCAAGUCGAGCGAACAGACGAGAGUGCUUGCACUCUCUGACGUUAGCGGCGGACGGGUGAGUAACACGUGGGUAACCUACCUAUAAGACUGGGAUAACUUCGGGAAACCGGAGCUAAUACCGGAUAAUAUUUAGCUUCGCAUGAAGCAAUAGUGAAAGACGGUUCUGCUGUCACUUAUAGAUGGACCCGCGGUGUAUUAGCUGGUUGGUGAGGUAACGGCUCACCAAGGCAACGAUACAUAGCCGACCUGAGAGGGUGAUCGGCCACACUGGGACUGAGACACGGCCCAGACUCCUACGGGAGGCAGCAGUAGGGAAUCUUCCGCAAUGGACGAAAGUCUGACGGAGCAAUGCCGCGUGAGUGAAGAAGGUUUUCGGAUCGCAAAACUCUGUUGUAAGGGAAGAACAAGUACGUUAGUAACUGAACGUACCUUGACGGUACCUUACCAGAAAGCCACGGCUAACUACGUG